rnacentral:rRNA from 1 species
AGAGUUUGAUCCUGGCUCAGGAUGAACGCUAGCGGCAGGCUUAACACAUGCAAGUCGAGGGGUAUAGUAGCAAUACUAGAGACCGGCGCACGGGUGCGUAACGCGUAUGCAAUCUACCUUUCACAGAGGGAUAGCCCAGAGAAAUUUGGAUUAAUACCUCAUAGUAUAGCAGCUUCGCAUGAAGCCACUAUUAAAGUCACAACGGUGAAAGAUGAGCAUGCGUCCCAUUAGUUAGUUGGUAAGGUAACGGCUUACCAAGACUACGAUGGGUAGGGGUCCUGAGAGGGAGAUCCCCCACACUGGUACUGAGACACGGACCAGACUCCUACGGGAGGCAGCAGUGAGGAAUAUUGGACAAUGGGCGCAAGCCUGAUCCAGCCAUGCCGCGUGCAGGAUGACGGUCCUAUGGAUUGUAAACUGCUUUUGUACAGGAAGAAACCCUUUCACGUGUGAAAGAUUGACGGUACUGUAAGAAUAAGGAUCGGCUAACUCCGUGCCAGCAGCCGCGGUAAUACGGAGGAUCCAAGCGUUAUCCGGAAUCAUUGGGUUUAAAGGGUCCGUAGGCGGUCAGGUAAGUCAGUGGUGAAAUCCCAUCGCUCAACGGUGGAACGGCCAUUGAUACUGUCUGACUUGAAUUAUUAGGAAGUAACUAGAAUAUGUAGUGUAGCGGUGAAAUGCUUAGAGAUUACAUGGAAUACCAAUUGCGAAGGCAGGUUACUACUAAUUGAUUGACGCUGAUGGACGAAAGCGUGGGUAGCGAACAGGAUUAGAUACCCUGGUAGUCCACGCCGUAAACGAUGGAUACUAGCUGUUGGGAGUGAUCUCAGUGGCUAAGCGAAAGUGAUAAGUAUCCCACCUGGGGAGUACGUUCGCAGAAUGAAACUCAAAGGAAUUGACGGGG